rnacentral:rRNA from 1 species
UACGUAGGGGGCGAGCGUUGUCCGGAUUUAUUGGGCGUAAAGAGCGUGUAGGCGGCCAGGUAGGUCGGUUGUGAAAACUGGAGGCUUAACCUUCAGACGUCGACCGAAACCAUCUGGCUAGAGUCCGGAAGAGGAGAGUGGAAUUCCUGGUGUAGCGGUGAAAUGCGCAGAUAUCAGGAAGAACACCCGUGGCGAAGGCGGCUCUCUGGGACGGUACUGACGCUGAGACGCGAAAGCGUGGGUAGCAAACAGG